rnacentral:rRNA from 1 species
GUGGGCUGUACUCGAAGACGGUGCGCUAACCGCAAGGAGGCAGCCGGCCACGGUAAGGUCAGCGACUGGGGUGAAGUCGUAACAAGGUAGCCGUAGGUGAACCUGCAGAAGGAUCA